UGCCGAACUUACGCUUCACACCGAUUAUUUUACCAAGUGAAAAUCGACCAGCUAGCACUUCUACAAAACUUGUUGCAUGUAAUGAUGUUUAUACACCACAUGAUUUGAGACAUAUUUCAAACGAUGAUCAGCAUAAAUGUUGCAAAUGUAGUACGGACGAAGUUCAUAAACUGAAACAACAGCUAGCUGUGAGCGAAGCAUUGAAUAACAAAUUAGAAGAGGAAUUAAAGUAUUAUAAAAAUGUUCUAGAGCAAAAGUUAGAAAUUGUUUUAAAAAAUUCGGCCUAUCAACGAGAAGCGUUCCAGGAGUUCGUUACUGUGAGUCGUCCAAGAGAAGGUCUUCUUCCCAAAACUAAUUUUGAAUUCGCUCCAAUGCAAAACGAUGAAGAGUUGCAAAAUUUUGACAGACAGUUAGGUACAGAUGCAGAGUACAAAGCAAAAGUCGUUCGUUAUUUACAAAAACAAGUAGAUCGAUCAGAUGUGCUGAAUCGUCUGCAUUCUUUAAUAGACUUGCUGUUUGGCAAAACAUUUUUCUCUAAAUUUUGUUGGAUGCGUAGUUAUGAUAAAAAAAUCCCAAAAAACCAUUUAACAUUUAUAAAAACGUUAUAAACCUGUUUCAAAUAAUAGGGACAAAUGAAAAUAUUAUGCCUUCCACAGCAUUUGUCAAAGAAUUUCUUCAGCAAAAAUUUAAAAAUUCCUUAAAACGAAUCCAUGUCUCCGAUCUCAAAACUACAACAUCAUUUAAAAAAGUUAAUGUUAAUAACGAUGAUUAAUCUUUAUAACCCAAUCAGAAAAUCAAGCAAAAGCUAUUGAAUUGAAAUCUAUUUAGUAGGGAGUAUGCCGAUUCGUAACAGUUUACAAUUUCUUGGCUGUGGCAUAAUUGGUACAAUUAUGUGUAUGUUACUACGUUACCUAAUACUAAGCUAACUGAUAUGUUAAACGAACUAAUGCAUUCAAUAUGAACUGAUGAUGCGAUG